CAGGGAUAGAGAAAACAAACAUUGGUUUUUAUACUGGUUCGGCCAAUAAUGCCUACAUCCAGUGUCCUUCCGACCCAGGAAGCAAAUGCACUAUAAUGGUUGAAGUUUUUACAAGAAGGAAUUUAUAGAAGUACCACGCAAAAAUAUAAAUCUCCUCUGUAACGCAAAACCAAAAUAUAGCUACACAACAAAACCAAAAUUGCAGCAAGAAUCCCCUCUUAUGCAAUCUGAACCCACGUCGAACAAUCCUCAACGUGUAUCCAAC
rnacentral:lncRNA from 1 species